GAUGAACGCUGGCGGCGUGCUUAACACAUGCAAGUCGAACGGAAAGGCCCUGCUUUUGUGGGGUGCUCGAGUGGCGAACGGGUGUGUAACACGUGAGUAACCUGCCCUUGACUUUGGGAUAACUUCAGGAAACUGGGGCUAAUACCGGAUAGGAGCUCCUGCUGCAUGGUGGGGGUUGGAAAGUUUCGGCGGUUGGGGAUGGACUCGCGGCUCAUCAGCUUGUUGGUGGGGGAGCGGCUUACCAAGGCUUUGACGGGUAGCCGGCCUGAGAGGGUGACCGGCCACAUGGGGACUAAGAUACGGCCCAGACUCGAACGGGAGGCAACAGUGGGGAAUAUUGCACAAUGGGCGGAAGCCUGAUGCAGCAACGCCGCGUGCGGGAUGACGGCCUUCGGGUUGUAAACCGCUUUCGCCUGUGACGAAGCGUGAGUGACGGUAAUGGAUAAAGAAGCACCGGCUAACUACGUG
rnacentral:rRNA from 1 species